GACAGAGGGGGCAAGCGUUGCUCGGAAUUACUGGGCGUAAAGGGCGCGUAGGCGGCCAUCUAAGUCAGACGUGAAAUCCCCCGGCUUAACCUGGGAACUGCGUCUGAUACUGGAAGGCUUGAGUAUGGGAGAGGGAUGUAGAAUUCCAGGUGUAGCGGUGAAAUGCGUCGAGAGUAUCUGGAGGAAUACCGGUGGCGAAGGCGGCAUCCUGGACCAUUACUGACGCGUGAGG
rnacentral:rRNA from 1 species